GAUGAACGCUGGCGGCGUGCCUAAUACAUGCAAGUCGAGCGAACGGACGAGAAGCUUGCUUCUCUGAUGUUAGCGGCGGACGGGUGAGUAACACGUGGAUCCCCUACCUAUAAGACUGGGAUAACUUCGGGAAACCGGAGCUAAUACCGGAUAAUAUUUUGAACCGCAUGAUUCAAAAGUGAAAGACGGUCUUGCUGUCACUUAUAGAUGGAUCCGCGCUGCAUUAGCUAGUUGGUACGGUAACGGCUUACCAAGGCAACGAUGCAUAGCCGACCUGAGAGGGUGAAGGGGCACACUGGAACUGAGACACGGUCCAGGCUCCGACGGGAGGCAGAAGUAGGGAAUCGUGCGCAAUGGGCGGAAGCCUGACGGAGCAACGCCGCGUGAGUGAUGAAGGUCUGCGGAUCGUAAAACGCUGUUAGGAGGGAAGAACAUAUGUGUAAGUAACUGUGCACAUCGUGACGGUACCUAAUCAGAAAGCCACGGCUAACUACGUG
rnacentral:rRNA from 1 species